rnacentral:rRNA from 1 species
UACGGAGGGUCCAAGCGUUAUCCGGAAUCAUUGGGUUUAAAGGGUCCGUAGGCGGUUUUGUAAGUCAGUGGUGAAAGCCCAUCGCUCAACGGUGGAACGGCCAUUGAUACUGCAAGACUUGAGUUUGGGAGAGGGAUGCGGAAUUCCAGGUGUAGCGGUGAAAUGCGUAGAUAUCUGGAGGAACACCGGUGGCGAAGGCGGCAUCCUGGACCAACACUGACGCUGAGUGAGCGAAAGCCAGGGGAGCAAACGGG